GUUUAUUAUAUGGACGUGGUGACAGUGGAAAGACACCAUGCUCUUCUGAUUUUCAAACGAACCUUCUGAGCCAUUUUAACAUUAGAGUCUAUGGAAGAGUUGGAGGGAGGAGGCUGUGCAUUGGUGACAUUUAUGAAAGAACCAUAACACUUAGUACAAUAGUAAACACAUUGGAUGAAAGAGGACAGCGAUGGCUACGUUUUGAGGGUAAAAUCAUACCUGUAGAGCAAACGCUGCGGACACAGCAGCAGUUUUAAAAAAGAUUUUAAGAUUAAUUUUUUUGCUCCUCUCACUCUAGCAGUUGAGCUGUCUCACUCUAGCCCCAACAUUCCGUCCCAUACACACCCAUUAUAAAUUUUGAAACGGGUGAAAAAACAUCAUGAAACUUAAACUGGAACUGAAGAAAAAGUAUAAUAGAUAUUGAAAAGAUAAAUACAAGUUGAAUAGUUGAAUGUCUUGUCUUCGUUUUAAAGUUUGAAUGGUGGCUCUAUGUCAAUGUAUGUGGAAGUAGAUACAGUUUAAAGAGGAGGAAGUUGAAUGAGAAUUUGAAGGGUCUCCCCAUUGAAAUACAUGGGAAAUUUUUGUUGAAAAAAGUUGAAUAAAAUUAAAAAUAUAAAUGUUAAAAAUGAGAAAAAUAGAAGCAGUCAUGUCCAAAAGAAUAGGAAUCUAAUGGAAGUUGAAUGAGAAUUUGAAGGGUCUCCCCAUUGAAAUACAUUAUAAAUUUUUGUUGAAAAAAGUUGAAUAAAAUUAAAAAUAUAAAUGUUAAAAAUGAGAAAAAUAGAAGCA
ensembl:lncRNA